CCUACGGGUUGCAGCAGUGGGGAAUAUUGCACAAUGGGCGCAAGCCUGAUGCAGCCAUGCCGCGUGUAUGAAGAAGGCCUUCGGGUUGUAAAGUACUUUCAGCGGGGAGGAAGGUGUUGUGGUUAAUAACCGCAGCAAUUGACGUUACCCGCAGAAGAAGCACCGGCUAACUCCGUGCCAGCAGCCGCGGUAAUACGGAGGGUGCAAGCGUUAAUCGGAAUUACUGGGCGUAAAGCGCACGCAGGCGGUCUGUCAAGUCGGAUGUGAAAUCCCCGGGCUCAACCUGGGAACUGCAUUCGAAACUGGCAGGCUUGAGUCUUGUAGAGGGGGGUAGAAUUCCAGGUGUAGCGGUAAAAUGCGUAGAGAUCUGGAGGAAUACCGGUGGCGAAGGCGGCCCCCUGGACAAAGACUGACGCUCAGGUGCGAAAGCGUGGGGAGCAAUCAGGAUUAGAUACCCGUGUAGUC
rnacentral:rRNA from 1 species